UGGUCACGGCAGUCACGGCGGCGGCUACAGCAGCUCCAGCGCCGGUGCGAGUGCAACCGCUAACGCCGCAGCCGGCGGAUACGGCAGUCACAAGGGCGGUUACGGUCGUUAAACUGAAGUUACCAAAAUCCAGCGCUGGCUCACCAUCUGCAGCGUGGUUCGACAAUUCUGAAUGUGAUAAUACCCAGUAUAUUUGUUAAACAUAAUUAUGUAUGUAAAAAUAACAUAUUAAAAUAGUUAAAAAAAUCAUUCUAUUAUUA